GUGUGUGAGUGUGUUUGUGUCUUAGAGGUGUGUGUGUGUUAGUGGUGUGUUAGAGGUGUGUGUGUGUGUGUGUGUGUUAGAGGUGUGUGUGUGUGUGUGUGUGUGUGUGUGUGUGUGUGUGUGUGUGUGUGUGUGUGUGUGUGUGUGUGUGUGUGUGUGUGUGUGUGUGUGUUAGAGGUGUGUGUGUUGUGUUUGUGUCUUAGAGGUGUGUGUGUUAGUGGUGUGUUAGAGGUGUGUGUGUGUGUGUGUUAGAGGUGUGUGUGUGUUAGAG